GUUCCAACAAUUCUCAAUCCAAUCAUUUUCUCAGAAAUUAUCUUAGAAAAUGCUUGAAUCUUACAAAUAAUAUAACAAUUUAUUAAGUAUAUAGAAUCUUUUUUAUACUUUUAUUUCUUUAUUUAGCAACAAGAUUGAUCAUAACAAUAAUCCUCUAAUUAUUUUAACCAGCAUAUAUAUUCGAACAUUUUUGUACCGCGACAUCUUUCUCUCGGUAGCGUUUCGUUAGUCUUCAAAUUAGUAUUACCGAAUUAGACUUGGAGUAAUUCAAUCAGAUCACAUUUCACGAUCAAAUUACGGAACAAUUGUACAUUUUCAUUCGCGACUUCAACAACUUUCAAAAGUUUCAAACGCGAUCCCAUCCAAGAGAAAAAGAAAAAAAUUAAUUCGCAAUUAAUCGGCAAAUUAAUCAAAUCCUACAUGUGAGAAUAAAAUUUACAAUUAGAAAUCGAGAUCGUAAUUUUGGGGGGACGAAGGACAAAUUCAUUCCUCGCGAGCUAGGGAAACCGGAAGUGGAUAACGAAAUUCAAAGGACUCGCGUGACAAGAGAACCGUCGAAGAAGUGCGGAACGGAUUCGUUAUCACGAUGAACAUGCAAGAUCAAUUGACAAAUAAGGUGAGAAAGGAAACAGGAAGAUCGUGAUACAUGCAAUAACCGAAAAAGGAAGAUGAGAAUUAAUUAAAUAGGAUGGCGUACAUUCUGUUAUACCUUGGAAGAUACGAGCAGAGAAAGUGAAGGGAUUCGAUGACAUGCUGAGGAAAGUUUUCAGUCAAAAAUCUUCACAGUGGAGCGAAAUGAACAAAAUAUGGUAAAAAUUAAAAAAAAUAUGGAAAGAACAAAGAUGUGGAAAUGGGACCGAGAAAAAAUUCCACGACGCAACGAAAGAAAGAAAAAGGGGAAAGAGAUGGAAGAAACGCUUUUUAUCCAAAAAGAGGAGAAAAUAACAUCAUUCAGGAAGCAUUUCCAAAGAAGAAGAGAGCGGUGGUUGAUCAUGCUAGUGCAAGAAUCGGAUUGGCAUGCUUUUGUAGGAAGGACUUACGAUCAUCAUUGGCGUUCUCCGUGUAAGUAUCCAACGGAAGCGGCUGAGAUUGAUCUCUAGGUGCCUCAAUCAGGUUAUAAUCAGAGCUAUCUUUCGGUUCUUUCCGCUGACAACAAGCGUACAUGAUGCCACCGCAACUGCCGUCCAAUAGGCCAGCGGACAUCCAGCACAUUAGAAAAAAUUCGCAGCUUCGUCCGUCAGCGCACAACGUAUCGUCACCCUUCCACAGCGGUCUUUUUUGUUGACGCGGCUCUGCACAAAACAGGGCAAACUGUUCUUUCUUCACCUUUCUCUUUCGCGACAUUCUCCCACGAAUAUUCUCUUUUCUUUUUCCAGAGCGAACCGAUCGAAAUGAAAUAAUGGAAGGGCGUUGUCACUCGGUGAUACUUGUCUCUUUUUAAUUGUUAGACACAUGUGCGAUAAGAAGAAAGCAAGGUCUGAUUACUCCAAGCCUAGCUUCAGAAAUACUUUCGCAAGAGAAAUGACACUGCCCGACAGAUCUUAAUUUCUUGUGGUUUUUUUUUUUCUAGCAGCGAACAAUCAGUUCUGAUAGAUUUCUGCGCGCUGAUUGUGAAUCUGAAAUUGGUUUUUCCUUAUCACUGUCGGUCUAUUAGAAAAUUCAGUUUUGAAAGGGGUAAUAAAUUUUAAAGUUCGAUUUUAUUUCGUGUUUAAAUAAUAAAAGGUAUACAAUUUUCAUUUAUGGGAAAUAAUUUUAUUUCAUUUAUGUGAGAUUAUUUUCCCAUUACACAAUUAUGUAGUUUUACUAUUAAAAACGUUCUGUGCCUCGCUGAAGCAUAUAAUAAUUAAUAUUAUCGAUUGAAGGUUUUAUCAAACAAAGUCGUUUUUAAUGAAAAGUGAUUUACAUUGAUUAGCUUUUGAAUUUUCCAUUUAUUACGUUUUAUUCAAUUAAAAUUUUAAUAUUAAUUUAAUAUUAAUUUUAAGUUAACAAUAUAAUAGAUAUUAAAUCAGUAAUAUAAUAAAUAUGAAAUAAUUAUCAGAGCGAUGAGAACCGAUUUUUUGAGGAUAAUUUUCAGUUUUUAACUAUUUAUAAUAUAACAACAUUAAGUUCAAUUAAAUUUAUUUCCCUUAAAUAGAUAUACCUCUAUCUUUUACCAUUUAAACAUAAAUGUUCGUUGCACAUUGUUUAGGUUUAAAAAUCUCUAGGUUUCCCUUUGCCAAAAUCGAAUUUUCCAAGAACUAACGAGAAAAAAUGUAUUUCAGGUUCUAGUCUGUCAGAAACUGUUAUUCCCUAGGAAAAAAAAAAAAGAAACUUCUUUUCAUGUUGUCAACAGCAUAAUUGAG